rnacentral:rRNA from 1 species
AACGAACGCUGGCGGCAUGCCUAACACAUGCAAGUCGAACGAAGCCUUCGGGCUUAGUGGCGCACGGGUGCGUAACGCGUGGGAAUCUGCCCUUAGGUACGGAAUAACUCAUGGAAACGUGUGCUAAUACCGUAUGAUGUCUUCGGACCAAAGAUUUAUCGCCUAGGGAUGAGCCCGCGUUGGAUUAGCUAGUUGGUGAGGUAAAGGCUCACCAAGGCGACGAUCCAUAGCUGGUCUGAGAGGAUGAUCAGCCACACUGGGACUGAGACACGGCCCAGACUCCUACGGGAGGCAGCAGUAGGGAAUAUUGGGCAAUGGGCGAAAGCCUGACCCAGCCAUGCCGCGUGAAGGAAGACGGCCUUAUAGGGUUGUAAACUUCUUUACUACGCGAAUAGAGGUUAGUACGAGAUACUAAUAGGAAGGUAGUGUAGUAAAAGCACCGGCUAACUCCGUG